GAUGAACGCUAGCGGGAGGCUUAAUACAUGCAAGUCGAGCGAGAAUUUCGAUUUCGGUUGGAAGGAAAGCGGCGAACGGGUGAGUAACGCGUACGCAACUUACCCUUGAGUGUGGAAUAGCCCUGGGAAACUGGGAUUAAUACCGCAUAGUUUGUAGAUCUGGCAUCGGAUUUACAAUAAAGCUUCGGCGCUCAAGGAUAGGCGUGCGUUCCAUUAGCUAGUUGGUGAGGUAACGGCUCACCAAGGCUACGAUGGGUAGGGGGCGUGAGAGCGUGGCCCCCCACACGGGUACUGAGACACGGACCCG
rnacentral:rRNA from 1 species